GUAUCUUUAGAAGAUCAAGUCGGCCGCGGUGUGGACGGACAGUUAACAGCCACGCAGCGUAUACACUGUGUUCCAAAUUAUUAUGCAAAUUAUAUUUUUCACUGAAUUUCCUCCUAACUGACCUCCUAAUGCUGCAAAUUCAACAAAUGACCAUUUUCACUUCUUUACAACCUGUAAAAUGCUUUGAAACUCUGUUGUGCAUAAUAAUUUGGAACACAGCAGCUACAGGAUUUCAACCAGAGCCAGAAUCUCAAUGCUUUUCUGUCUUUCGCUUUAUGUGAACGUGCACCAAAUCUGCCUUUUCAUGGAAACUCUUUCAAAGGCAGCCUGUGAACUUCCUGCUAAAAUCCCCCAGAGACCAAGUGUAUAUAAUAUAUAAUAUAAUCACGGACAAAGUCGCACAUUAUUGUUUUAAAUCCCCAGAUAAUUAGGGGUGUCUGAGAGCUUAUAGAGCGAUUCUACUGUAUAAUAUCAAAUGACAGAAUCGGCUGACCUGGCUGCCAGACUGUGUAACUGAGAGGAAACGAAAGGAGCAGAGGAGAGAGCAGAGAGGGGAGGAAGGAAGAUAAGACUUAAAAAAAAGAAAGCUAUGUUAUGUUUUUGUGUUUUUUAAAUACUGUGAUGUUUGCUUGAACUGUCCGUUUGUGCAUGUGUGUGAGGAGCCAUAUCCCGUGUAAAUAUUGAUGAUCUAUCUAUUCUAUGUGCCUUAUUUUAUAGUGUUUAUAAUGUG